rnacentral:rRNA from 1 species
UUGACCUCGGAUCAGGUAGGAAUACCGCUGAACUUAAGCAUAUCAAUAAGCGGGAGGAA